rnacentral:rRNA from 1 species
GCUAAAGGAAGCACCGGCUAACUCCGUGCCAGCAGCCGCGGUAAUACGGGGGGUGCGAGCGUUGUUCGGAAUUAUUGGGCGUAAAGCGCAUGCAGGCGGUACGAUAAGUUGGGUGUGAAAGCUCACGGCUUAACCGGGAGAGGUCGCUCAAGACUGUCGAACUAGGGUGUGGUAGAGGAAGGUGGAAUUCCAGGUGUAGUGGUGAAAUGCGUAGAGAUCUGGAGGAACACCAGUGGCGAAAGCGGCCUUCUGGACCAUUGCCGACGCUCAGAUGCGAAAGCCAGGGUAGCAAACGGGAUUAGAGACCCCGGUAGUCCUGGCUGUAAACGAUGUGAACUGGGCGGUCGAGGGGUAAAAUCCUGGACUGUCGAAGCAAACGCGAUAAGUUCACCACCUGGGGAGUACGGCCGCAAGGCUAAAACUCAAAGGAAUUGACGGGGGCCCGCACAAGCAGCGGAGCGUGUGGUUUAAUUCGAUGCUACACGAAGAACCUUACCAGGGUUUGACAUGCAGAUGGUAGGGAAGUGAAAGCGGACCGACCCUUCGGGGAGUCUGCACAGGUGCUGCAUGGCUGUCGUCAGCUCGUGUCGUGAGAUGUUCGGUUAAGUCCGCUAACGAGCGCAACCCUCGCCGCGUGUUACAAGUGUCACGCGGGACAGCCGGUCUUAAGCCGGAGGAAGGUGGGGAUGACGUCAAGUCAGCAUGGCCUUUAUGCCCUGGGCUACACACACGCUACAAUGGUCGGUACAAUGGGUCGCGAAGCCGCGAGGUGGAGCCAAUCCAGAAAGCCGAUCUCGGUUCAGAUUGCAGGCUGCAACUCGCCUGCAUGAAGACGGAGUUGCUAGUAACCGCAGGUCAGCUAUACUGCGGUGAAUACGUUCCCGGGCCUUGCACACACCGCCCGU